UACGAAGGGGGCUAGCGUUGCUCGGAAUCACUGGGCGUAAAGGGUGCGUAGGCGGGUCUUUAAGUCAGGGGUGAAAUCCUGGAGCUCAACUCCAGAACUGCCUUUGAUACUGAAGAUCUUGAGUUCGGGAGAGGUGAGUGGAACUGCGAGUGUAGAGGUGAAAUUCGUAGAUAUUCGCAGGAACACCAGUGGCGAAGGCGACUUGCUGGACUUGUAGUGACGCUGAGACGCGAAAGCGUGGGGAGCAAACAGG
rnacentral:rRNA from 1 species